GUGAACGCCCUCACGGGCUUAUACUAUUCCAAACCUCUGUGAACCGUGCCCUUCGGGGCUAUUUUACAAACAUGGUGUAAUGAGCGUCAUAUAUCAUAACAAAACA
rnacentral:misc_RNA from 1 species